GUCUGUUCAUUGUUGAUGUUGUUUCUUUUAUCCUCUGGAUGUAGUCACUUUUGGACUACAUCUAUGUAUGGUUUCGUUUUGUCUGGUUUCUGUUNUUUUUUUUUCUGUGAUUUUUGGUUGGCGUUGUCACUUUUGGGCAUCAUUGUGUUUGUGAUAUUGGUUGAUGCUUAUUUACAGGUUAUGGGUCUGCCUAACUUCUCUCCAUUCGGGAGUUGUUUAAAAAAAAC
rnacentral:lncRNA from 1 species